AAGGUAGCUUGCUACUGGACCUAGCGGCGGACGGGUGAGUAAUACUUAGGAAUCUGCCUAUUAGUGGGGGACAACGUUCCGAAAGGAGCGCUAAUACCGCAUACGCCCUACGGGGGAAAGCAGGGGAUCUUCGGACCUUGCGCUAAUAGAUGAACCUAAGUCGGAUUAGCUAGUUGGUGGGGUAAAGGCCUACCAAGGCGACGAUCUGUAGCGGGUUUGAAAGGAUGAUCCGCCACACUGGGACUGAAACACGGCCCAGACUCCUACGGGAGGCAGCAGUGGGGAAUAUUGGACAAUGGGCGCAAGCCUGAUCCAGCCAUGCCGCGUGUGUGAAGAAGGCCUUAUGGUUGUAAAGCACUUUAAGCGAGGAGGAGGCUUACCUAGCUAAUACCUAGGAUAAGUGGACGUUACUCACAGAAUAAGCACCGGCUAUCUCUGUGCCAGCAGCCGCGGUAAUACAGAGGGUGCAAGCGUUAAUCGGAAUUACUGGGCGUAAAGCGCGCGUAGGUGGCCA
rnacentral:rRNA from 1 species